AUUGAACGCUGGCGGCAGGCUUAACACAUGCAAGUCGAACGAGUGGCGGACGGGUGAGUAAUGGUUGGGAAUCUGGCUUAUGGAGGGGGAUAACGACGGGAAACUGUCGCUAAUACCGCGUACCAUAGGAUGAGCCCAAGGGGGAGUAGGUAGUUGGUGGGGUAAUGGCCUACCAAGCCGACGAUCUCUAGCGGGUCUGAGAGGAUGACCAGCCACACCGGGACCGAGACACGCCCCGGACUCAGACGGGAGGCAGCAGAGGGGAAUAUUGCGCAAUGGGGUCAACCUGACGCAGCCAUGCCGCGUGAAUGACGCAGGCCUUCGGGUUGUAAAGUUCAUUCGGUGACGGAGCGUUAAUCACAGAAGAAGCACCGACGACCUCCGGGCCAGCAGCCGCGGUAAGAC
rnacentral:rRNA from 1 species